rnacentral:lncRNA from 1 species
GUGCUCCUCCUGCAGCGGACGGAAGAUGCUGGGCCACGCAAGUUUCCCUGGGCUUGGUUAACCACCCCAAAGCCCAUUUCCAGAAGGAAAGGGUGUUGAGGAGGAGGGAUAGAAAGUCGAGAAGAGGGCCGGGUGAGUGGCUCACGCCUGUCAUCCCAGCACUUUGGGAGGCCGAGACAGGCGGAUCACCUGAGGUCAGGACUUAGAGACCAGCCUGGCCUACAUGGUGAAACCCCGUCUCUACUAAAAAUACAAAAAUUAGCCGGGUGUGGUGCCGUGCGCCUGUAGUCCCAGCAACUCGGGAGGCUGAGGUAGGAGAAUCGCUUGAACCCGGGAGUCGGAGGUUGCAGUGCUGAGAUGGCACCUGGCCUGGGCGGCAAGAGCGAAACUCCAUCUCAAAAAAAAAAAGAAGAGGAAAUGAGGCAUAGGGGCAGGCGAGCCGGGAAAAUAUUGCUACUAAGGAUCCUAAGCAGUGAACAUGCUGUUAAUACUUAGAUGAGAUCUUGCUCUGUCACCCAGACUGGAGUGCAGUGGCACGAUCAUAGCUCACUGCACCCUCAAACUCCUGGACUCAAAUCAUCCUCUACCUCUGCCUCCAUGAGUAACUGGAACUACAGACAAACUCCAACAUUGUCUAUUGGGAAUAAAUAACACUCAGUGAAGAAAACUGGAAGAAGAGGAGAGAGGAAAGGCAAGGCCAUCCAUAUAAUGAAGAGAAUGUUGUCUAGAAAUGAAAAUGACUAAGAGAAGGAA